CAGUCGCCGCGGUAAUACGUAGGUGGCAAGCGUUGUCCGGAAUUAUUGGGCGUAAAGGGCUCGCAGGCGGUUUCUUAAGUCUGAUGUGAAAGCCCCCGGCUCAACCGGGGAGGGUCAUUGGAAACUGGGAAACUUGAGUGCAGAAGAGGAGAGUGGAAUUCCACGUGUAGCGGUGAAAUGCGUAGAGAUGUGGAGGAACACCAGUGGCGAAGGCGACUCUCUGGUCUGUAGCUGACGCUGAGGAGCGAAAGCGUGGGGAGCGAACAGGAUUAGAUACCCGCGUAGUCCCUGUCUCUUAUAC
rnacentral:rRNA from 1 species